CAGACACUCACACUCCCAGAGAGGCAUGCAAAUGGAACCAGAGAUUGUCCUUUGGUGAUUCAGAAAAAUUCUGAGAAGUUCAAGAAAACAGAAAGAAAGUAACAGACAGGCCACUAUGAAAACUACAUAAAUAAAUUAAGAUUCAAAGUGGGAAGAGACAACCUAAGCUCAGUAAGAUACGCGUCUGAGGCCUGAUACGCAAUAGAAAUUAUAUCUUAAGAAAGCAGAGCCCAAGACAUCCACUUUGAUAUUUUCACAGUCAAAUUAAGGACUGUAACAAUUUUUCCAAGAAAAGGUUUGUCCUCUGCAAACAUAGGUGAAAUCUUAGUCCUAGCUGCUGCCCAUAUUUCUGUAAAAGGAACAUCACUCCCUCUUUGCUGCAUGAAAGAUUUACCAGUAGCAGACACCAUGCAAGGCCUCAAACAGAUAACAGACAUAUUAUCAGCAGUGAGCAUGAGACUCUUUCUCAUGAAAGCAUGUUUUUUUCAGCAAGCUUUCCAGACAUCCCACUUGAGGUGUGAAAGGCCUGGAAACUGCUAUGGCCACUUCUGCUGUUUCCAUGUUAGCUAUCAGCAGAGAAGUGAUUAAAAUGUUGCAGUGUGCUCUGUAUCUUACUAAGAAAAAUCUCAGUGUUCUCACAUGGCAACAUUUAUUCUACACUCAAAAAUGUUACUGCAGUACCAAAGCCAAAAUAUUUUACUGUACUCACUGCUCCGACACAUACAUGCUCCUGCACCUGAGUACAGGACACAAAGUGUGAUUGUUUUUGUACGGUAAAAGCUGGGCACUAAACAUUUCUGAUACUCCUAUGGUGAGCUCACAGAGCAUUUGCCAGCACAUAAAGCAUCGUGGAGGCCAACAAAUGCUUUAGGUGUCUGACUCAGUUUUACAGAAUAAACAAGCCUUUUCUACUUUUCCAUUCUCACUACUUUCAGCAGAAUGAGAUUCAUACCAGUAAAAAUCUCCCUUUGUAAGUCGUUUCAAUGUAAUGUAUUACUGCCUGAGUGGAAGGCCCUGCAAUAUGGCCAGGUGUUCUGCUUUCAGACUGCCUUGAGGAUGCUAACCUCCAGCAGAGGAGUGUGUUGGGUAGAAAGGAGCAAGGACAUGGUAAGCUGUCACAUUAAGGUUCACCAAAUCUCAUGUAUACUUUUAUCCCCCUUUUGUAUCACCUCACCCUUCUUAUUCUAAAAUUAACAAGUAUCCACAUGGAAAGCAUGUGACCCACUCUUCAUGGAACUGAAUUGCAGAAAUAUUAAAGAGAAAAAUCCUACACAGAAGACGUAGCCAACGGGACUGUAGCAUGGGAGACCAGCACAUCACAGUGGACAAAGGCUACAGUUUCUCAGAUAAUUACCAUUAGCAUAGAUAGACAUCUGUGAAAUAACACUACAGGUAUAGCUUGUAGCUGCCACCUCCUUAUGCUCCUGCUCUGGGAAGGAAGUAAUUACUGAAGCCCAUAGCAUGGACUUUCAAGGUCACUGAUAGUCCCCACAUUCUCAGUUUGAGAAAUAAAUGCAGUGGAGUCACCUUGCCAAGCCAUUCACUGACGUCGUUUUCAUCUUUCAUCUCAGUUUGAGUGUGUACGUUGGUUACUGAAGUUUGGUUUUUAAAGCAUAAAAAAAGAAUUUAGCUGCUUCACUGGAACUUAUUUCCUUAUCAAGGCUAGUGUUUGAUUAUUCUGGUGCAUAACAAAAUAUUGCAUAACCUGGUUUCUAUUCAAAAUCCUCUAAUGUUAUAAGUCACAUCAGCAGCACAAUGCUCUUCAGAUUAAAACUUGUUUUCUCCCACACUUUUCCACUUGAAAACUCAAUUUGGUCUUGCACUUUCCCUCAGGGAACACAGCAGUUACUACACAGAGCUUUCUCCCAAAGCAGUGGGGUUUCUGUAAUGAGGGGGCUCCUUACACUGCCAGGCAAAUAAAGGCCACCAGGCAUAAGUCUGUACCACAGCUGUUACUUAACCUUUACUCAGGUACUGGAAGCAAAAAGAUACCUUUUCAGACAGGGUAGUGGCCCUCUCCAAGGUCUGCAUUGCCACAGCCACGCUGCUAGCAGAACUGGGCUCAGCUACCCAACUACACAAGUUUCAGGGACCACGACACACACUCAAGAUCCAUCCACAGGUGGGCACACCAUUUCACCCCACCACCCCUGCAGCUAGCCAGCCUACUCUCUUCCCUGCUUCUUCUCCAGCUGCCUCUCAUACUUAACCCUUGUUUACGGCACUGCUUUUUCUACAUGGUAACCGCUAGAAAAAUCCGUGGACUUUUUCAAGUCUAAAGCUGCUAUUUCGCAGCUUCAAAAUUCCAGGUCAGAAGCGCAGGCUUGCUCUUGACUUCCUAAAACCUGGUGUGUACCACUUUCUGAACCUGGACUUUGCGGAGAACAACAAGCUCUUCAGGACAAUUGACAGGUGAAAGGAAGCAAAACUACUCACUCCUAUU